GGAGCUGCAAACUGCCCUCAGGGCAAAGAAGCCUGCAGAAUAAUUGGGAGGAGUCUGGCAGGAAGGAAGCCAAGAAAGCACAAGCAAGAAUGUGUGAGAAGAUCACAGAGACCUAAAGAAGGGGAAGGGAAGAACCCACAUGUGAGAGAGAAGAGAUUGUCUGACUUGGUAAAUAGAUAUUGAAAACCAGAGGUCUCUUAGGGCUCCUCAUCUCAAGAAGCCAGCAGGCAAGGGAAGGACAAACCAUCCUUGCAGGAAUAAUUCGUACUGAUCAUUUGGAGGAGAUUCGGCUAGUAUAGCUGCUGUUACAUAAUGAAGAAAAGGAAGAAUAUGUUUCAAACUCAGAUGAACCACUGGGGAGUCUCUUGAUACUCUGUUGCCUAAUUUGGAUGGUUAAUGGUCAGUGUUCCUAAUUGCACUGCCCCUGGAAAACGCACGGAGAAGAAAUACAGCAAAAUACAUGAGAUGGUGAAACACUCUGGCAACUGCAAGCGGACAGAUGGGAUCUGGGAGGUAAUGCAGGGUCACAGGGCAGUUACACCAGGAUAUUUGGUUCUUUCCUACUCUCCUUUCCCCACCCUCAAUGCUAUAUACAUAACUGCUAGUGAAUCAAUUUAUGUACAUAUCCCAGAUAUCUAGGACUGGUUGAGGCGGGUUAUCCAAGAGAGUCACAGUGUAUUACCAUUUUUUAUUAAGUACAACCAGACCAACAGAGAACUGAUUAACUCAACCACUGAACUUUAUGUUUUCCCCCAUCAUCUAUAGAAUUGAUUUUACUGGAUUUUGACAUGUCAGUUUAUCACUUACUUUAUCCUUCAGUGAAGGACACACUAAGGAAUGGAGUUAUUAAGCUUGUUCUACUGGCUGUGAGGAUGUUGUUGAGGGACAUUGUUCAUGACGUUAUGUUGUGUCAUUUUUAUGAGGACUCAAUGGAAGGACUUCUGUCUGAUUUCAGUACUGGAAGUAGUCAUACUUCUCCUGAGCAACCAUUUUCUUUCUCCGUUAUAAAAAUCUCAUUGUCUCUGU
rnacentral:lncRNA from 1 species